AUACUUAUGUGGUAGGAGAGAUACCAUGAUUACCAAGGUGCUUUUCCCAGGGCUCCUCCAUUAUACUGCGGCUGUGCUGACCCCUGUGAUUUCCCCAAAUGCAGGAAACUCAACUACAGAAUUUGUGAAAGUAGAGAACUGAAUUCGUGCUUUCUCCU